UACGUAGGGGGCAAGCGUUGUCCGGAAUCAUUGGGCGUAAAGCGCGUGUAGGCGGCUCGAUAAGUCUGCUGUGAAAGUCCAGGGCUCAACCCUGGGAUGCCGGUGGAUACUGUCGAGCUCGAGUCCGGAAGAGGCGAGUGGAAUUCCUGGUGUAGCGGUGAAAUGCGCAGAUAUCAGGAGGAACACCAAUGGCGAAGGCAGCUCGCUGGGACGGUACUGACGCUCAGGCGCGAAAGCUAGGGGAGCAAACGGG
rnacentral:rRNA from 1 species